rnacentral:rRNA from 1 species
CCUACGGGGUGCAGCAGUGGGGAAUAUUGGACAAUGGGGGGAACCCUGAUCCAGCGACGCCGCGUGAGUGAAGAAGUAUUUCGGUAUGUAAAGCUCUAUCAGCAGGGAAGAAAGAAAUGACGGUACCUGACUAAUAAGCCCCGGCUACCUACGUGCAAGCAGCCGCGGUAAUCCGUAGGGGGCAAGCGUUAUCCGGAUUUACUGGGUGUAAAGGGAGCGUAGACGGUUACGCAAGUCUGGAGUGAAAGGCGGGGGCCCAACCCCCGGACUGCUUUGGAAACUGUAUAACUGGAGUGCAGGAGAGGUAAGUGGAAUUCCUAGUGGAGCGGUGAAAUGCGUAGAUAUUAGGAAGAACACCAGUGGCGAAGGCGGCUUACUGGACUGUAACUGACGUUGAGGCUCGAAAGCGUGGGGAGCAAACAGGAUUAGAUACCCGGGUAGUC